rnacentral:rRNA from 1 species
AUACGUAGGUGGCAAGCGUUGUCCGGAAUUAUUGGGCGUAAAGCGCAUGUAGGCGGUGCCUUAAGUCUGUCGUGAAACUGCGGGGCCUAACCCCGUAUGGCGAUGGAAACUGUGGCACUUGAGUGCAGGAGAGGAAAGGGGAACUCCCAGUGUAGCGGUGAAAUGGGUAGAUAUUGGGAAGAACACCGGUGGCGAAUGCGCCUUUCUGGACUGUGUCUGACGCUGAGAUGCGAAAGCCAGGGUAGCGAACGGGAUUAGAUACCCCGGUAGUCCUGGCCGUAAACGAUGGGUACUAGGUGUGGGAGGUAUCGACCCCUUCCGUGCCGGAGUUAACGCAAUAAGUACCCCGCCUGGGGAGUACGGCCGCAAGGCUUAAACUCAAAUGAAUUGACGGGG